rnacentral:rRNA from 1 species
CCAUGCCGCGUGCAGGAUGAAGUGCCUUCGGGUUGUAAACUGCUUUUGUACGGAACGAAAAGACUCUGGUUAAUACCUGGGUUCCAUGACGGUACCGUAAGAAUAAGCACCGGCUAACUACGUGCCAGCAGCCGCGGUAAUACGUAGGGUGCGUAGCGUUAAUCGGAAUUACUGGGCGUAAAGCGUGCGUCAGGCGGUUAUGUAAGACAGAUGUGAAAUCCCCGGGCUCAACCUGGGAACUGCAUUUGUGACCUGCAUAGCUAGAGUACGGCAGAGGGGGAUGGAAUUCCGCGUGUUAGCAGUGAAAUGCGUAGAUAUGCGGAGGAACACCGUAUGGCGAUAGGCAAUUCUCCGUGGGCCUGUACUGACGCUCAUGCACGAAAGCGUGGGGAGCAUAACAGGAUUAGAUAUCCCUGGUAGUCCACGCCUUAGUACGAUGUCAACUGGUUGUUGGGUCUUCACUGAUCUCAGUAACGAAGCUAACGCGUGAAGUUGACCGCCUGGGGAGUACGGCCGCAAGGUUGAAUACUCAAAGGAAUUGACGG